ensembl:lncRNA
GGGUCAGGAAUAUCCCCUGGAGAAGGAAAUAGCAAUCCACUCCAGUAUUCUUGCCUGGAGAAUCCCAUGGACAGAGGGGCCUGCUGGGCUACAGUCCCUGGUGUUGCAAAGAGUCAGCUAACACUUUCAUCUGCCCUCCAGUUGACCUGCAUGGCCGUGUAAUAGAGCAAGACCAUGACAAGCUGUCAUCACUGAGCUGGGCAUGAUGAAAGCAAGACCAGAAGGGAGUACCCGCCACAUUGUGAUCUGGACUCCCCUGAUGAUGGUAGCCUAGACUGCCUCCAACUUCUCAUCACCGUGAAACGAUGGGGCCAUGAGCCUCCUUGCACAUGCCACUAGGGACCUGUGAAAGAAUUUCUUUGGGAUAUGUGCCCAGGAAUGAAAUUACUGGGUCACAUGGGAAAUACAUUCUUCAUUUAACUAAACAG